AGUCGAACGAUGAACCUCCUUCGGGAGGGGAUUAGUGGCGAACGGGUGAGUAACACGUGGGCAAUCUGCCCUGCACUCUGGGACAAGCCCUGGAAACGGGGUCUAAUACCGGAUACUGAUCAUCUUGGGCAUCCUUGGUGAUCGAAAGCUCCGGCGGUGCAGGAUGAGCCCGCGGCCUAUCAGCUUGUUGGUGAGGUAAUGGCUCACCAAGGCGACGACGGGUAGCCGGCCUGAGAGGGCGACCGGCCACACUGGGACUGAGACACGGCCCAGACUCCUACGGGAGGCAGCAGUGGGGAAUAUUGCACAAUGGGCGAAAGCCUGAUGCAGCGACGCCGCGUGAGGGAUGACGGCCUUCGGGUUGUAAACCUCUUUCAGCAGGGAAGAAGCGAAAGUGACGGUACCUGCAGAAGAAGCGCCGGCUAACUACGUGCCAGCAGCCGCGGUAAUACGUAGGGCGCGAGCGUUGUCCGGAAUUAUUGGGCGUAAAGAGCUCGUAGGCGGCUUGUCGCGUCGGUUGUGAAAGCCCGGGGCUUAACCCCGGGUCUGCAGUCGAUACGGGCAGGCUAGAGUUCGGUAGGGGAGAUCGGAAUUCCUGGUGUAGCGGUGAAAUGCGCAGAUAUCAGGAGGAACACCGGUGGCGAAGGCGGAUCUCUGGGCCGAUACUGACGCUGAGGAGCGAAAGCGUGGGGAGCGAACAGGAUUAGAUACCCUGGUAGUCCACGCCGUAAACGGUGGGCACUAGGUGUGGGCGACAUUCCACGUCGUCCGUGCCGCAGCUAACGCAUUAAGUGCCCCGCCUGGGGAGUACGGCCGCAAGGCUAAAACUCAAA
rnacentral:rRNA from 1 species